rnacentral:rRNA from 1 species
GACGAACGCUGGCGGCGUGCCUAAUACAUGCAAGUAGGACGCAGUUGCGAACGGGUGAGUAACGCGUAGGUAACUACCUAUUCGAGGGGGAUAACUAUUGGAAACGAUAGCUAAUACCGCAUACUAGUCGAUGGACCUGCGUUGUAUUAGCUAGUAGGUCGGGUAAUGGCCUACCUAGGCAACGAUACAUAGCCGACCUGAGAGGGGGGUCGGCCACACGGGGACUGAGACACGGCCCAGACUCCUACGGGAGGCAGCAGUGGGGAAUAUUGCACAAUGGGCGCAAGCCUGAGUCAGCCAUGCGGCGUGUGUGAAGAAGGCCUUCGGGUUGUAAAGCACUUUCAGCGAGGAGGCGUUACUCGCAGAAGAAGCACCGGCUAACUCCGUGCCAGCAGCCGCGGUAAUUC